rnacentral:lncRNA from 1 species
CUCACCCACAUCUGACCCACAGCAGCCCUGACCCACAUCUCAUCUUCUGCUGACCCACAGCAGCCCUGCCCCACAUCUGCCCCACAUCUGCCCCACGGCCUCUGUGGGUCGGGGCACGAGCCGUGGGGCCGGGUCCCACCGCGGGCGCCGCUGCCGCCCCACGGGAGGGGACGUGGGGCCGGGGGGGGAGAAACGUGGGGUGGGGAGGGGGCGACUUGUGGGGCGGGACGUGGUGGGGGAGGGGGGGCAGAGCUUUGGGGGGGGGGGGGGGGUCCGCCCCCCACAUUUCCGGCCCCCCCCCGUUUUUAACCGUGCCUCAGUUUCUCUCUCUUCUCCCUGCUGCCGAGGUCCGAGC